CCGUCGCCUCGUGCUGUGCUGCGUCGGCUGGGAGCUAGGUCCGCAGCCUCCGCCCGGAUCUUCCCGCUUUCCCGGAUUUUCAAAGGCCCAAAGUGGCCGCUGCCCUCUCAGUGUCCUGCUCUGGGGGCUCUUCUCCAAGAACUCGCCCACGCAAACUCUCAGCAGCCUCUGAAAAGGAGACUGAGGUGCAGUAAAAGGAAGUGGUUUUCAAAGGACACAUCGGUUAUGAGAGGAUCACCAACCUCCCAUGUCGUCUGCUCCUGACAUCCAAGCAUCACCAUCAUCAUGGCUCAGUGAUCCACGAUCACCUGAGACGGAAGAUCCUCCUUCUGACUAUCAUCGGAAGGCCUACAGUAACCUAACCCUACGUCACAAUGGCCACGUCACUCUCCUCACUUCAUCUCAUCUUGCAAGCAUUUUAUCAUCUCACGUCAUCACAAGAAGAAGGAGACGCUGAGGCACACAGAGUUCACAUGACCUGUCAUCAGCGGGAAGCAGGAGAGCUGACCUGUCUCUCGGAGUUCUUGGGUUUCUCUUUCUUGAUUUAACCCCAUGACUAUGACAGUCCCCUUUACCUGGUUUUCAUCUCCACUGGACUUUAGGCUCCCCUGAAACAAGAACUGAAUGUUAUUUUUGUAUUCCCAAAGUCUAGCGCAGAGUAGGUACUCCUUGAAUUUGAAAUGAAUGCAAUUGACUCAUCAUGCAAAGGCAAUAAACGAUGAGUAUUCAAUACCAAGUGCUCUGAAUUGAGAAGGUGACUUCCCAGGUCACAAUGCUACAGAGCUAGACAUCAUCUCACACGGAAGGGACUCAGCCAGACUGGAACAAAAGUAAAGACAAGAGCGGUGCAGAUGAGUCAACAGGGGAAAAAAAAAAAAAAAAACACACACACACACACAAAAAAAAAACCACACACAUAUGACCCUCCCCUUCCCCAACAUUAAAACACUUCCCUUAGCCACACAAGUGAAAGACCCUCAACAGAUGCUCAAUGAGGGUGGUUUGGAAGUUGCCCUCAGAAGCUCAGCGAAUGGUGUGCAUGGUUGAUAAACACAGUGAUGCCAAAUAAACUCCAAAGGGGAAAACUUUUUGGAAUUCUAAUUCCAGAGUGUUGGCUCAGUCAUUCUUAACAACUUCUUGCCUCACUGUCAUAUAGUCUUGAGUGGAAAAAUUAAUGGGACAUUGUUAGAAAUGGAUCUCAGCAAUGAGUAGAACCCAUUGCAGUCAAGAUUCUGAUCUAAGAGUCAUGGCACAAAAGAAGAAAAAUAACCUGUAAACAUAUAGAAAGAUGCUCAAUGGCACUAAUCAUCAAAGAAAUUCAAACCAGGAGUUCUCG